AUGACUUAGAGGUCUUUGGGGUGAAAUUUCUGGGUUGAUAACAGUUUUGACAAAAAUGUUGCUUUAGCAUGACUACCCUUCUCUCAACCUGAGAGAGUUCCUAUGAAAACUUGGAAGACCCGAGAAGAGAAAACUCUGUGAAAAACUCAUGUUUAAGGAAAUAGCCUUACUCCAACCAUCUUCACCCCUCUGCAUUCCUGCCUGACAAAUUUCAUCCUUGCCCAGGUGUCUACCUGCCCAUAUCCUGGUCUGCUAACCUGGAGGCAAAAAUUGUUCUGCCUGGCUUACCAGCAAUCUGUGCCUCUUCCUUAUCAGAAUCAAAGAUGAUUCCAGGACAGCCAGAGCUACACAGAAAAACCCUGUCUCAAAGAACCAGAAGUGAAAAAGGAAGAGUACCUACUGAAUGAAGGUGGAUAGAAGAGAAUGGUGGUCCUUCUUCUGGAAUGAUACAGUCAAAGUACAUCAUACACCUGCAAGAAAUGUCCUUGUGAAACUCAUCACUACAUACAAUAAAUACACGCUA
rnacentral:lncRNA from 1 species